AGUGAUAUCUAGCCUAAAUACCAAAGGCACCAGAUCCCAUUUGAUCUUGGAAGCCAAGAGGUCUUGGCCUUGGUUAGUGCUUGGAUGGAAGACUACCAACAAAGACCGGAUCUUGUCCUUU
rnacentral:rRNA from 11 species